GGUUAAGCGACUAAGCGUACACGGUGGAUGCCUAGGCAAUCAGAGGCGAUGAAGGACGUGCUAAUCUGCGAUAAGCGUCGGUAAGGUGAUAUGAACCGUUACAACCGACGAUUUCCGAAUGGGGAAACCCAGUGCAAUUCGUUGCACUAUCGUUUGAUGAAUACAUAGUCAAACGAAGCGAACCGGGGGAACUGAAACAUCUCAGUACCCCGAGGAAAAGAAAUCAACCGAGAUUCCCCUAGUAGCGGCGAGCGAACGGGGAGCAGCCCAGAGUCUUAAUCAGCAUUAGCAUCAGGAGAACGGUCUGGAAAGUCCGGCAGUAAAGGGUGAUAGCCCCGUAUCCGAAGGUGUUAGUGUUGUGAACUCGACGAGUAGGGCGGGACACGUGUUAUCCUGUCUGAAUAUGGGGGGACCAUCCUCCAAGGCUAAAUACUCCUGAUUGACCGAUAGUGAACCAGUACCGUGAGGGAAAGGCGAAAAGAACCCCGGCGAGGGGAGUGAAAUAGAACCUGAAACCGUGUACGUACAAGCAGUGGGAGCCUUGAUUUAUCAGGGUGACUGCGUACCUUUUGUAUAAUGGGUCAGCGACUUAUAUUCUGUAGCAAGGUUAACCGUAUAGGGGAGCCGUAGGGAAACCGAGUCUUAACUGGGCGAAUGAGUUGCAGGGUAUAGACCCGAAACCCGGUGAUCUAGCCAUGGGCAGGUUGAAGGUUGGGUAACACUAACUGGAGGACCGAACCGACUAAUGUUGAAAAAUUAGCGGAUGACUUGUGGCUGGGGGUGAAAGGCCAAUCAAACCGGGAGAUAGCUGGUUCUCCCCGAAAGCUAUUUAGGUAGCGCCUCGUGAACUCAUCUUCGGGGGUAGAGCACUGUUUCGACUAGGGGGUCAUCCCGACUUACCAACUCGAUGCAAACUACGAAUACCGAAGAAUGUUAUCACGGGAGACACACGGCGGGUGCUAACGUUCGUCGUGAAGAGGGAAACAACCCAGACCGCCAGCUAAGGUCCCAAAGUCAUAGUUAAGUGGGAAACGAAGUGGGAAGGCUCAGACAGCCAGGAUGUUGGCUUAGAAGCAGCCAUCAUUUAAAGAAAGCGUAAUAGCUCACUGGUCGAGUCGGCCUGCGCGGAAGAUGUAACGGGGCUAAACUAUGCACCGAAGCUGCGGCAGCGAUAUGUAAAUAUUGUUGGGUAGGGGAGCGUUCUGUAAGCCUGUGAAGGUGUACUGUGAGGUAUGCUGGAGGUAUCAGAAGUGCGAAUGCUGACAUAAGUAACGAUAAUGCGGGUGAAAAACCCGCACGCCGGAAGACCAAGGGUUCCUGUCCAACGUUAAUCGGGGCAGGGUGAGUCGACCCCUAAGGCGAGGCAGAAAUGCGUAGUCGAUGGGAAACGGGUUAAUAUUCCCGUACUGGUGAUAAUUGCGAUGGGGGGACGGAGAAGGCUAGGCUAUCCGGGCGACGGUUGUCCCGGUUUAAGAAUGUAGGCAGGUGAAUUAGGCAAAUCCGGUUCACUACAUGCUGAGGUUCGAUGACGAGUCACUACGGUGAUGAAGUAGCUCAUGCCCCGCUUCCAGGAAAAGCCUCUAAGCUCUAGAUUAUCAUUAAUCGUACCCCAAACCGACACAGGUGGUCAGGUAGAGAAUACUCAGGCGCUUGAGAGAACUCGGGUGAAGGAACUAGGCAAAAUGGUGCCGUAACUUCGGGAGAAGGCACGCUGGCGCUAGGUGAAGUCCCUCGCGGAUGGAGCUGAAGCCAGUCGCAGAUACCAGCUGGCUGCAACUGUUUAUUAAAAACACAGCACUGUGCAAACACGAAAGUGGACGUAUACGGUGUGACGCCUGCCCGGUGCUGGAAGGUUAAUUGAUGGGGUUAUCCGUAAGGAGAAGCUCUUGAUCGAAGCCCCAGUAAACGGCGGCCGUAACUAUAACGGUCCUAAGGUAGCGAAAUUCCUUGUCGGGUAAGUUCCGACCUGCACGAAUGGCGUAAUGAUGGCCAGGCUGUCUCCACCCGAGACUCAGUGAAAUUGAACUCGCUGUGAAGAUGCAGUGUACCCGCGGCAAGACGGAAAGACCCCGUGAACCUUUACUAUAGCUUGACACUGAACAUUGAGCCUUGAUGUGUAGGAUAGGUGGGAGGCUUCGAAGCGUGGACGCCAGUCUGCGUGGAGCCAACCUUGAAAUACCACCCUUUAAUGUUUGAUGUUCUAACGUUGCCCCGUUAUCCGGGGUGCGGACAGUGUCUGGUGGGUAGUUUGACUGGGGCGGUCUCCUCCCAAAGAGUAACGGAGGAGCACGAAGGUUGGCUAAGCAUGGUCGGACAUCAUGCGGUUAGUGCAAAGGCAUAAGCCAGCUUGACUGCGAGAGUGACGGCUCGAGCAGGUACGAAAGUAGGUCUUAGUGAUCCGGUGGUUCUGAAUGGAAGGGCCAUCGCUCAACGGAUAAAAGGUACUCCGGGGAUAACAGGCUGAUACCGCCCAAGAGUUCAUAUCGACGGCGGUGUUUGGCACCUCGAUGUCGGCUCAUCACAUCCUGGGGCUGAAGUAGGUCCCAAGGGUACGGCUGUUCGCCGUUUAAAGUGGUACGCGAGCUGGGUUUAGAACGUCGUGAGACAGUUCGGUCCCUAUCUGCCGUGGGCGUUGGAAGAUUGAAAGGGGCUGCUCCUAGUACGAGAGGACCGGAGUGGACGCACCACUGGUGUUCGGGUUGUCAUGCCAAUGGCAUUGCCCGGUAGCUAAGUGCGGAAGAGAUAACCGCUGAAAGCAUCUAAGCGGGAAACUUGCCUUGAGAUGAGUCUUCCCUGACCCUUUAAGGGUCCUAAAGGAACGUUUAAGACUAAGACGUUGAUAGGUUGGGUGUGUAAGCAUAGCGAUAUGUUGAGCUAACCAAUACUAAUGAACCGUGAGGCUUAACCUG
rnacentral:rRNA from 1 species